rnacentral:rRNA from 1 species
CACCUGACUGCUAUCGGAUUGGUACUAAGCCAUGUGAGUCAUUGUAGCAAUACAAGGCAAACGGCUCGGUAACACGUAGUCAAUCUGCCCUAUGGACGUGGAUAACCUCGGGAAACUGAGAAUAAUCCGCGAUAGAUCAUAAUGCCUGGAACGGUUUAUGGUCCAAAUGAUUCGUCGCCAUAGGAUGGGACUGCGGCCUAUCAGCUUGUUGGUGAGGUAAUGGCCCACCAAGGCUAUUACAGGUACGGGCUCUGAGAGGAGAAGCCCGGAGAUGGGUACUGAGACACGGACCCAGGCCCUAUGGGGCGCAGCAGGCGAGAAACCUUUGCAAUGUGCGCAAGCACGACAAGGUUAAUCCGAGUGUUUCCUGCUAAAGGAAUCUUUUGUUAGUUCUAAAACCACUGAUGAAUAAGGGGUGGGCAAGUUCUGGUGUCAGCCGCCGCGGUAAAACCAGCACCUCAAGUGGUCAGGAGGAUUAUUGGGCCUAAAGCAUCCGUAGCCGGUUCUGUAAGUUUCCGGUUAAAUCCACUAGCUCAACUAAUGGGCUGCCGGAAAUACUGCAGAACUAGGGAGUGGGAGAGGUAGACGGUACUCGGGAGGAAGGGGUAAAAUCCUUUGAUCUCUUGAUGACCACCUGUGGCGAAGGCGGUCUACCAGAACACGUUCGACGGUGAGGGAUGAAAGCUGGGGGAGCAAACCGGAUUAGAUACCCGGGUAGUCCCAGCUGUAAACGAUGCAGACUCGGUGAUGCACUGGCUUUUGGCCAGUGCAGUGCCGCAGGGAAGCCGUUAAGUUUGCCGCCUGGGAAGUACGUACGCAAGUAUGAAACUUAAAGGAAUUGGCGGGGGAGCACCACAAGGGGUGAAGCCUGCGGUUCAAUUGGAUUCA